CCUACGGGAGGCUGCAGUGAGGAAUAUUGGUCAAUGGGCGAGAGCCUGAACCAGCCAAGUCGCGUGAGGGAGUACUGCCCUAUGGGUUGUAAACCUCUUUUGUCGGGGAGCAAAAGCCGGACGUGUCCGGCUGUGAGAGUACCCGAAGAAAAAGCAUCGGCUAACUCCGUGCCAGCAGCCGCGGUAAUACGGAGGAUGCGAGCGUUAUCCGGAUUUAUUGGGGUAAAAGGGUGCGCAGGCGGAUUUUUAAGUCAGCGGUCAAAUCGUGGGGCUCAACCCCAUCCAGCCGUUGAAACUGGGGAUCUAGAGUGUGCGAGAGGUAUGCGGAAUGCGUGGUGUAGCGGUGAAAUGCAUAGAUAUCACGCAGAACCCCGAUUGCGAAGGCAGCAUACCGGUGCACAACUGACGCUCAGGCACGAAAGCGUGGGUAUCGAACAGGAUUAGAUACCCUGGUAGUC
rnacentral:rRNA from 1 species